rnacentral:rRNA from 1 species
UACGGAGGGGGCUAGCGUUGUUCGGAAUUACUGGGCGUAAAGCGCACGUAGGCGGCUUUGUAAGUUAGAGGUGAAAGCCCGGGGCUCAACUCCGGAACUGCCUUUAAGACUGCAUCGCUUGAAUUGUGGAGAGGUAAGUGGAAUUCCGAGUGUAGAGGUGAAAUUCGUAGAUAUUCGGAAGAACACCAGUGGCGAAGGCGACUUACUGGACACAUAUUGACGCUGAGGUGCGAA